UACGUAGGGACCAAGCGUUGUUCGGAUUUACUGGGCGUAAAGGGCGCGUAGGCGGCUUGACAAGUCACUUGUGAAAUCUCUGGGCUUAACCCAGAACGGCCAAGUGAUACUGUCGAGCUAGAGUGCAGAAGGGGCAAUCGGAAUUCGUUGGUGUAGCGGUGAAAUGCGUAGAUAAUCAAGAGGAACACCUGAGGUGAAGACGGGUUGCUGGGCUGACACUGACGCUGAGGCGCGAAAGCUAGGGUAGCAAACGGG
rnacentral:rRNA from 1 species